CCUACGGGGGACAGCAGUGGGGAAUAUUGGGCAAUGGGCGCAAGCCUGACCCAGCAACGCCGCGUGAAGGAAGAAGGCUUUCUGGUUGUAAACUUCUUUUCUCAGGGACGAAGCAAGUGACGGUACCUGAGGAAUAAGCCACGGCUAACUACGUGCCAGCAGCCGCGGUAAUACGUAGGUUGCAAGCGUUAUCCGGAUUUACUGGGUGUAAAGGGCGUGUAGGCGGGAAAGCAAGUCAGAUGUGAAAACCAUGGGCUCAACCUGUGGCCUGCAUUUGAAACUGUUUUUCUUGAGUACAGGAGAGGCAGACGGAAUUCCUAGUGUAGCGGUGAAAUGCGUAGAUAUUAGGAGGAACACCAGUGGCGAAGGCGGUCUGCUGGACAGCAACUGACGCUGAGGCGCGAAAGCGUGGGGAGCAAACAGGAUUAGAUACCCUUGUAGUC
rnacentral:rRNA from 1 species